CAGUCCUCACUCUUCUUCGGCUUUUUUGGGCCCGUUCCACCCUCGCAGGCCUGCCAGAACUGUCCACAUGACACGAGAUGAUGGUUUUUCACCGCCCCAUUCCCUCUGCCUUGGUUGCCAUCGUUUCAGGGCAGAAAGCAGCCAGGCGUUGAAGCUGCAAGACCAUUCAAUGCUAAUCAAGGUGACCAACUGCAACGUUCACACUUGCCCCAGGCAGACAAGAGUUCUUUCUCCCACUCUGGACCUUCCACAGAUAUAUAAACCCACUUGCCUACUUUCCAACAGACCUCACAACCUCUGAGGAUGCUUGCCAUAGAUGCGGGUAAAACGUCUGGAGGGAAUUGCUUCUGGAACAUGGCCAUAUAGCCCAAAAAAUUCACAGCAACCCAGAUUGAUGAUCCAAAUGGAAAGGCCACUCAUUUGGAUAAUUUUCAGGUUUCGGAAUUCCAGAUAAAGGGUGCUCAACCUACAAUAAAGAUGUUAUUGUUUUGUCAAAGGCUUUCAUGGCCGGAAUCACUGGAUUGCUGUGAAACUUCAAAGGCAUUCAAUGCUAAUCAAGACUGAAAAGUCGGUGGUUUGAAUCUGGGGAGCAGGGUGAGCUCCCGGUGUUAGCCCCAGCUUCUGUCAACCUAGCAGUUUGAAAACAUGCAAACGACAUCCUGCAGUACAUUUGGCAAGUUUUUCAAUGAAUAUCUCACCGGGUCUCAACCAAUUCAACACAGUUUUGUGGCAGUCACAAAAAUGAAGUUUCUGAAGUAUAACAACUACUUUUAAAGUACGUUCCACACAAUUAAACAGGAAAUAACACUUUCAAACAUAAUUUUUUUCUCCCAAACAUUUUUUUCAAAUUUUGUUACAUGGUGCAAUGCAUAGUUCCAAAGAAAGCAAGAAACCAUUCUCAGGAACAUCUAUGCUUAAAGCAAACUGCACAGUCCAGAAUUUAUCUGAAAUUCCAGACAAAGUGAAUCAAGCACGGAAUUUAUCACAGCUGACUUGAUUAAAUGUUUGUUUUGUUUUGCCUGUUUCAAACAAGUUGUGAAGCUGUCCAAAUUCCGAGAGGCAAAUAUUACAAGCCUAAAAUGGAAUGAUGUUCGAUGUGAGUCCAUACAGAUAUUGAAGAAGAGAUUUCCUAAGGUGAAUCACUUUCAUGAUAUUGCAUUAUCUGGCUUACCUUUUGCAGCAAAGCAAAAUCCAAACCCUUCACCAAGUGAGUGUGCUCCAUGUCACCACCCAAGAACUUGGACUCCUGAAUUAACUGCCGCCUCUUUUCUGCAGCUGACUUAUCCCUAGAAUGAGAAAAAAGAAACAAUGAAAUCAAGGUCCCACUGUAACAUAAACAAAAAAGCUGCUCUCAUGAGUGUACUCACGCCUCUGCAGUGGGUCCCACUGCCCUGUAGUUGGCAGUUGUGCUGAUCAGCUCUGUUUCCUCAUAGUCCUUGUUGACACCAUCCCUUCUCUCCUUGGCACGGUCCCUAUACUUCUCGGCCAGUUCCCUCUCGCGCUCAAUCUCUUGCUGACGUAGCUUUGCGUAAUAGCUGGCAUCAGAAAAAUAAGUCAGUUACAAUCAAAACACAGACGCUAUGGCAUUGUAUCAAAAUUGCUAUUUCUAUUAACGCAUAUAUCUAUCAGCACUAGUUUUCUCCAGAUUGCAACACCCAUUUUUCUGCUCAUCAGUUCUUAGCCUACUUUUUCUAUCCAGAUGUUCUAGAAAGUUUGUAAUCAGAUAUGCCCUUAUUUUAAACACAUGAUUCAAGACAAUGUUUCAUCUACCUUCACCUGUCCAACAAUGUGAGGAAUCAACAAUGCUACUGGAAAAUUCUCAAUCCGUCUUCAACUGGAGACUGGGCACUAUCUCUCAAUGUGCACUUACUGUUUACUGUUAAGCAGUAGAAUCAAAAAGAUGUACUUGUGAAGAGAGACCAGUACCAGACAUACAGUAGAGUCUCAUCCAACAUAAACGGGCCGGCAGAGCAUUGGAUAAGCGAAUAUGUUGGAUAAUAAGGAGGGAUUAAGGAAAAGCCUAUUAAACAUCAAAUUAGGUUAUGAUUUUACAAAUUAAGCAUCAAAACAUGUUAUACAAGAAAUUUGACAGAAAAAGUAGUUCAAUACGCAGUAAUGCUAUGUAGUAAUUACUGUAUUUACGAAUUUAGCACCAAAAUAUCAUGAUGUAUUGAAAACAUUGACUACAAAAAUGCGUUGGAUAAUCCAGAACAUUGGAUAAGCGAGUGUUGGAUAAGUGAGACUCUACUGUAGUUCACUGACUGCACAUGAAGUAUUGACAUGUCACUAAUAAUUCACAUGCAAUGAUAUCAAAGCCCAGAAAAACAUCUCAUAAUAUCAAAAGUUAUUGCACUCUUUCCGUCUCCAGAUGAAUUAUUGACAAAGACAUAGCUGUAGACUCUGUCCCACAGGACAAAAGGCAAACUGGCCCAAUCCUGGGAAACAAGAAUAGCUAGGCAUGCCCAAAAAUGGUCAUUGGCACCUCCAAAAUCACAAAUAAUGCCGCCUCCUCUAAAGACAAGCACUUGCAUGAGUUGAAGCAUCAAGGCUUCAUUUUUCACACCAAGACUGGAUAACCUACGUUAAUAACCUUUCCGUAAAGAGCAACCAUCUUCUUCUGGAAAAUGUUUAAUUAGAAAGUUUCUUCUAUUUUAAUAAAAGUUUGGUGCUUUAGGAAAGCCCUGGGCCAGUCUCAGUCUCAAUCUCUCUUUCUUUACCUUUUCUUCUUCCUCCUUCGAGCAGCUGGAUCUUCAUCUUCAUUGUACUCUCUUGGCAUUCUGAAGAAGACAAGAAAAUUCAAACUCAUGACAACAGCAGGCUUGAAAUGUAACACCCAGAAUCCCUGCAGCUCCCUCUCCAAAGAAGGCAAAGGAAAACCCCGCCUGGAUCUACAUGGACAUAAUAUAAUAAAAUAACAAUUAAAAAUAA